CCUACGGGUGGCAGCAGUCGAGAAUUAUUCACAAUGGGGGAAACCCUGAUGCUGCGACGCCGCGUGGGGGAAUGAAGGUCUUCGGAUUGUAAACCCCUGUCAUGUGGGAGCAAAUUAAAAAGAUAGUACCACAAGAGGAAGAAACGGCUAACACUGUGCCAGCAGCCGCGGUAAUACCGAGGUCUCUAGCGUUGUUCGGACUCACUGGGCGUAAAGCGUGCGGGGGCUGUUUCGUAAGUCGAGUGUGAAAGGCGCGGGCUCAACCCGCGGACGGCACAUGAAACUGGCCGACUGGAGUAAGGGAGGGGGAAGCGGAAUUCGCGGUGUAGCAGUGAAAUGCGUAGAUAUCGAGAGGAACACUCGUGGCGAAGGCGGGUUCCUGGACAUUAACUGACGCUGAGGCACGAAGGCCAGGGGAGCGAAAGGGAUUAGAUACCCUUGUAGUC
rnacentral:rRNA from 1 species